rnacentral:rRNA from 1 species
GAACUUAAGCAUAUCAAUAAGCGGAGGAAAAGAAACUAACAAGGAUUCCCCUAGUAGCGGCGAGCGAAGCGGGAAGAGCUCAAAUUUGAAAGCUGGCGUCUUUCGGGCAUCCGCAUUGUAAUCUAUAGAGGCGUUUCUGUGCUGGACCGUGUCCAAGUCCCUUGGAACAGGGUAUCAAAGAGGGUGACAAUCCCGUACUUGACACGACAACCAGUGCUCUGUGAUACGUCUUCUACGAGUCGAGUUGUUUGGGAAUGCAGCUCAAAAUGGGUGGUGAAUUCCAUCUAAAGCUAAAUAUUGGCGAGAGACCGAUAGCGAACAAGUACCGUGAGGGAAAGAUGAAAAGCACUUUGGAAAGAGAGUUAAACAGUAUGUGAAAUUGUUGAAAGGGAAACGAUGGAGGUCAGUCGUGUCUGUGGGAUUCAGCCGUCUCUGGCGGUGUACUUCCCACAGACGGGUCAACAUCAGUUUUGGUCGGCGGAUAAAGGCAGGAGGAGGGUGGCACCCCCGGGUGUGUUAUAGCCUCUUGUUGCAUACGCUGGCUGAGACUGAGGAAUGCAGCUCGCCUUUAUGGCCGGGGUUCGCCCACGUUCGAGCUUAGGAUGUUGACAUAAUGGCCUUCAACGACCCGUCUUGAAACACGGACCAAGGAGUCUAACAUAUCUGCGAGUGUUUGGGUGUCAAACCCAAGCGCGCAAUGAAAGUGAAUGCAGGAGGGAUCCGCAAGGAGCACCUUCGACCGAUCUGGAUCUUCUGUGAUGGAUUUGAGUAAGAGCAUAUAUGCUGGGACCCGAAA